CACAUACUCCCUCCGUUCGGAAUUACUUGUCUCGGAAAUGGAUGUAUCUAGAACUAAAAUACGUCUAGAUACAUCCAUUUCUGCGACAAGUAAUUCCGAACGGAGGGAGUAGAUA
rnacentral:pre_miRNA from 1 species